GGGGGGGGGUGCUAUACUGCAGUCGAACGCUUUUUCUUUCACCGGAGCUUGCUCCACCGAAAGAAAAAGAGUGGCGAACGGGUGAGUAACACGUGGGUAACCUGCCCAUCAGAAGGGGAUAACACUUGGAAACAGGUGCUAAUACCGUAUAACACUAUUUUCCGCAUGGAAGAAAGUUGAAAGGCGCUUUUGCGUCACUGAUGGAUGGACCCGCGGUGCAUUAGCUAGUUGGUGAGGUAACGGCUCACCAAGGCCACGAUGCAUAGCCGACCUGAGAGGGUGAUCGGCCACACUGGGACUGAGACACGGCCCAGACUCCUACGGGAGGCAGCAGUAGGGAAUCUUCGGCAAUGGACGAAAGUCUGACCGAGCAACGCCGCGUGAGUGAAGAAGGUUUUCGGAUCGUAAAACUCUGUUGUUAGAGAAGAACAAGGAUGAGAGUAGAACGUUCAUCCCUUGACGGUAUCUAACCAGAAAGCCACGGCUAACUACGUGCCAGCAGCCGCGGUAAUACGUAGGUGGCAAGCGUUGUCCGGAUUUAUUGGGCGUAAAGCGAGCGCAGGCGGUUUCUUAAGUCUGAUGUGAAAGCCCCCGGCUCAA
rnacentral:rRNA from 1 species